rnacentral:rRNA from 2 species
GUUGUAUGGUUAAGUGACUAAGCGUACAUGGUGGAUGCCUUGGCAGUCAGAGGCGAUGAAGGACGUACUAACCUGCGAUAAGCUGUGAGAAGUCGGUAAGAGACGCUAUUACUCACAGAUUUCCGAAUGGGGAAACCCACCCAAGAUAA